AUGGAGCGGCGAGGCUGGGGUAGGGGCCUCCGGUCCUUCGCCUGCAGCGCGAACUCCCGCUCUGCCCGGGGACCCGUACCCACCUGGAAGCCUGCGCCGCAGCCGCCUCGGCACGCUCACCCAGGCGGCCCGGCCGCGGGCCCUCCGGCCGGCGCUUUUCUCGGCGCGGCGUGGCCCGCCCCCCGGCCCCCACCCGCCCUCCCAGCGCCCAGUGGCGGCUCCGGCCGGCCGCCCGGCGACUUAGGGAGUGUCGCUAAAGUGCUGGCCUUUCCCGGCGCGCUCCCCACUCCGCGCCCCCGCCCGCCGGCAGAGCCCGUGCCCAGCCCGGGUUCCACCCUAGGGAGCGUCUCAAAAGUGCGCAUGCAGCUCCCUCCCACUCUAGUCGGCCUUGCUCCUAGCUUUCUGCAUCCCGGGGUCCCUGCCCGCUUCCCCGGAGCGCCUGAGCCUUCUCAGCAGAUGGCCGCACGGUCGGGAACAUCUGGAGGCUCCAACCACAGAGGCUGGAGGCUCUACGCCCCUCCAAAGGGCCUCUCUCACAACAGAAGCCUAACAAACCACCUUUCACACCUUGGCCGGCAGCUGGCAGCAGUUUCAGUGUACUGCUACAUUCAUCAUUUCCCUUGCUUGAUCUUUUCUCAGUGGGAGGUGGCCUCUGGAGACUUUGGAUUGGGCAUCUCCAUCAGCCCUCCCCCCUUCCCCCACAGUGGUCCUUUGGCCUCCAGGCCCCUCCUCCUGUCUGCUGUUCCUGCUGCAGUAAAAAUGACCUUUUUAAACUGCAAAUCUGCAAAAUGGAUCAGGAUGCUUGCCCCCUUAAAACCUUUUAAUGGCAAAAGUCAAACUCCUUGGCUUCACAUUCAAGGCCCCUGUAAUAUGUUCCCCUGGAUCCUAGCUUUUCACUUCUGGUCGCUCCCCUUUUACACAUCCCAAGCUCCAGUCCUCUAAGUCACAUGAAACGAGAGGGAGAGAGGGAAGGGAAGGAAGGGCCUCUGAAUUCUUCAAAUCUCUGUCCAAAUUUCCCUCCCCCAGAAACCCAAUGCCUGGUGAAUUUGGUCCCUCCUUCUAUUCUGCCGCUACACCCUUUGCACAUAUGCGCUACCACUUUCCCCAUUCUCUUCCCCUUCUUGUGGUCACAUAGUUGCCAAAAUCUUGACCCCCUGUCACCCAGGGCUGAAUAAAAAACGUGCGGAGACAGAGUUUGGAAGAAAU
rnacentral:lncRNA from 1 species